rnacentral:rRNA from 1 species
CCUACGGGUGGCAGCAGUCGAGAAUCAUUCACAAUGGGGGAAACCCUGAUGGUGCGACGCCGCGUGGGGGAAUGAAGGUCUUCGGAUUGUAAACCCCUGUCAUGUGGGAGCAAAUUAAAAAGAUAGUACCACAAGAGGAAGAGACGGCUAACUCUGUACCAGCAGCCGCGGUAAUACAGAGGUCUCAAGCGGUGUUCGGAAUCACUGGGCGUAAAGGGUGCGGAGGCUGUUUCGUAAGUCGUGUGUGAAAGGCGCGGGCUCAACCCGCGGACGGCACAUGAUACUGCGAGACUAGAGUAAUGGAGGGGGAACCGGAAUUCUCGGUGUAGCAGUGAAAUGCGUAGAUAUCGAGAGGAACACUCGUGGCGAAGGCGGGUUCCUGGACAUUAACUGACGCUGAGGCACGAAGGCCAGGGGAGCGAAAGGGAUUAGAUACCCUAGUAGUC